GCCACCCUAGCUCAACCGGUAGAGCACCCGACUUGUAAUCGGGCGGUUAGGGGUUCGACUCCCCUGGGUGGCUCCA
rnacentral:tRNA from 1 species